rnacentral:rRNA from 1 species
CGAACGCUGGCGGCAGGCUUAACACAUGCAAGUCGAGCGCCCAGCAAUGGGAGCGGCGGACGGGUGAGUAACACGUGGGAACAUGCCCUUCGGUACGGAAUAACUCAGGGAAACUUGUGCUAAUACCGUAUACGCCCUUACGGGGAAAGAUUUAUCGCCGAAGGAUUGGCCCGCGUCUGAUUAGCUUGUUGGUGAGGUAAUGGCUCACCAAGGCUUCGAUCAGUAGCUGGUUUGAGAGAGCGACCAGCCACACUGGGACUGAGACACGGCCCAGACUCCUACGGGAGGCAGCAGUGGGGAAUCUUGGACAAUGGGGGAAACCCUGAUCCAGCCAUGCCGCGUGAGUGAUGAAGGCCCUAGGGUUGUAAAACUCUUUCGGCGGGGACGAUAAUGACGGUACCCGCAGAAGAAGCUCCGGCUAACUUCGUG